UCAACUGGGAUUGAAACUAGUUAGCCGGGCUGUGAUUCUACCUGUUGAACACAGUGGUUUAGCUCUGUGACAAAACAUUUAGAGAUGAAUUACAUUUGGCAUGCGUUAUAACUCAAUGGGAAUUUUACACUUCCUCUGGUCUGCCUGCUGUGUAUAAAACCACAUCAACAGGUUGACAGAUCCCCCUGCUGUAUAAAACCACAUUAACAGGUUGACAGAUUCCCCUGCUGUAUAAAACCACAUCAACAGGUUGAUAGAUCCCCAUGCAGUAUAAAACCACAUCAACAGGUUGACAGAUUCCCCUGCUGUAUAAAACCACAUCAACAGGUUGACAGAUUCCCCUGCUGUAUAAAACCACAUCAACAGGUUGACAGAUCUCCAUGCAGUAUAAAACCACAUCAACAGGUUGACAGAUUCCCCUGCUGUAUAAAACCACAUUAACAGGUUGACAGAUCCCCAUGCAGUAUGAAACCACAUCAACAGGUUGACAGAUUCCCCUGCGGUAUAAAACCACAUCAACAGGUUGACAGAUUCCCCUGCUGUAUGAAACCACAUCAACAGGUUGACAGAUUCCCCUGCUGUAUAAAACCACAUCAACAGGUUGACAGAUCCCCCUGCAGUAUAAAACCACAUCAACAGGUUGACAGAUCCCCAUGCAGUAUAAAACCACAUCAACAGGUUGACAGAUUCCCCUGCUGUAUAAAACCACAUCAACAGGUUGACAGAUUCCCCUGCUGUAUAAAACCACAUCAACAGGUUGACAGAUCCCCAUGCAGUUUAAAACCACAUUAACAGGUUGACAGAUCCUUAAUGCUUUGCCACACUGCUGUAUAAUGAUGGCCUCUUUCCAUGUAAGGACAUUACAUUGUGCAUUUUAUUGGACUCAG